rnacentral:lncRNA from 1 species
CUAUGCGAUGGCGUUGUCGAGCAGGAGAGUCGGCAGGCCACGCGGGCGACGCCUAGGGCGAGAAGAGAAGCUCCUCUCCCCGCAGCCCAGCCCGCACACGGAGCGAGCCCGGCGGCCAAAUCCGACGGGGACGAAGGAGACGCCCGGCGAGCCGCGACGACCGAGGCCGAGGAACCGGGCAGAUCCGAGUCGGGAGGCGCGCCCGCGAUCUGGCCGGCCCAGGCGCGGCGCCGGGGCGGAUCGGGACGGGGGGCUGGGGUUGCUUACCGGCGGCCGGACGGGGCGAGGGGCCGGCGCCUCCCUCCGGCGGUGCGAGAGGAGGGGAGGGGACGAGAAGCUUCAAGGAGGAAGUGGUGGAAGGAAG